CCUACGGGUGGCAGCAGUGGGGGAUAUUGCACAAUGGGGGAAACCCUGAUGCAGCGACGCCGCGUGAGCGAGGAAGUAUUUCGGUAUGUAAAGCUCUGUCAGCAGGGAAGAAGAAUGACGGUACCUGAAGCAGAAGCACCGACUAAAUACGUGGCAGCAGCCGCGGUAAUACGGAGGGUGCAAGGGUUAUCCGGAUUUAUUGGGGUUAAAGGGUGCGUAGGCGGAAUGCCAAGUCAGCGGUAAAAUCGCGGGGCUCAACCUCGCUCCGCCGUUGAAACUGGCGUUCUUGAGUGGGCGAGAAGUAUGCGGAAUGCGUGGUGUAGCGGUGAAAUGCAUAGAUAUCACGCAGAACUCCGAUUGCGAAGGCAGCAUACCGGCGCCCAACUGACGCUGAAGCACGAAAGCGUGGGUAUCGAACAGGAUUAGAUACCCUAGUAGUC
rnacentral:rRNA from 1 species